GCAGGCGUGGUGAAAUUGGUAGACACGCCAGACUUAGGAUCUGGUGGCGUGAGCUGUGAGAGUUCGAGUCUCUCCGCCUGCACCA
rnacentral:tRNA from 1 species